rnacentral:rRNA from 1 species
GAUGAACGCUAGCGGCAGGCCUAACACAUGCAAGUCGAGGGGUAGAGGAAGCUUGCUUCCUUGAGACCGGCGCACGGGUGCGUAACGCGUAUGCAAUCUACCUUUUACAGAGGGAUAGCCCAGAGAAAUUUGGAUUAAUACCUCAUAGUAUAUAUCAUUCGCAUGUUUGGUAUAUUAAAGUUCCAACGGUAAAGAUGAGCAUGCGUCCCAUUAGUUAGUUGGUAAGGUAACGGCUUACCAAGACGAUGAUGGGUAGGGGUCCUGAGAGGGAGAUCCCCCACACUGGUACUGAGACACGGACCAGACUCCUACGGGAGGCAGCAGUGAGGAAUAUUGGUCAAUGGACGCAAGUCUGAACCAGCCAUGCCGCGUGCAGGAAGACGGUCCUAUGGAUUGUAAACUGCUUUUGUACGGGAAGAAACACUCCUACGUGUAGGAGCCUGACGGUACCGUAAGAAUAAGGAUCGGCUAACUCCGUGCCAGCA